rnacentral:rRNA from 1 species
UCCCAGUUCGGAUCGCAGGCUGCAACCCGCCUGCGUGAAGUUGGAAUCGCUAGUAAUCGCGGAUCAGCAUGCCGCGGUGAAUACGUUCCCGGGCCUUGUACACACCGCCCGUCACACCAUGAGAGUCGGGAACACCCGAAGUCCGUAGCCUAACCGCAAGGGGGGCGCGGCCGAAGGUGGGUUCGAUAAUUGGGGUGAAGUCGUAACAAGGUAUC